GACGAACGCUGGCGGCGUGCUUAACACAUGCAAGUCGAACGGAAAGGCCCUGCUUUUGUGGGGUGCUCGAGUGGCGAACGGGUGAGUAACACGUGAGUAACCUGCCCUUGACUUUGGGAUAACUUCAGGAAACUGGGGCUAAUACCGGAUAGGAGCUCCUGCUGCAUGGUGGGGGUUGGAAAGUUUCGGCGGUUGGGGAUGGACUCGCGGCUUAUCAGCUUGUUGGUGGGGUAGUGGCUUACCAAGGCUUUGACGGGUAGCCGGCCUGAGAGGGUGACCGGCCACAUUGGGACUGAGAUACGGCCCAGACUCCUACGGGAGGCAGCAGGGGGGAAUAUUGCACAAUGGGCGGAAGGCUGAUGCAGCAACGCCGGGUGCGGGAUGACGGCCUUCGGGUUGUAAACCGCUUUCGCCUGGGACGAAGCGUGAGUGACGGUAAUGGGUAAAGAAGCAACGGCUAACUACGUG
rnacentral:rRNA from 1 species